UCUCCCUGUCCUUAUCUUGGCCUUUGAGCCCUGUUCCAUCAGUGAGAGAGCAGUUGUGGUAGAGUCCAGCUGUCCAUUGGGCUGAAACCAGCGCAUCUGCAAGUGGGCUGCUUGCUCUCUUGUUCACUGGAACAAGUUGGGAUGGUUAGAAUUCAGCCAUCACCACUGAAUAACUGCUGUGCAGAAGGACAGAGCCAAAUUAUGGACUGCAAUCUGAUGCCGUUCCAAUGAUUAGCACCUGAUCCUCAUGUAGUCCUAUUAAAACUUCCUAAUGUAGUAAGCAUGAGCAAGCAUAUCAUUAUCUGUUCCUGGUUGAGCAUGAAACCUUCACGUCUGAUGGCAUCUCUCAUUUAGUGGAAAUGAAUGCUUUGUCCUGUACAUCAAAUGAGGGAGGGAGGGAAAUGGGCGACAAAUGGUCUUCCUGCCUUCAACUGAAGAGAAUGCUUGGAUCAUAGUCUCUUUAUCCUCUGCUAAAGUACUUUGUAGAUAAUAUAGGAGCUAAACUGUAUUACAGGAACAUGGCCAGUUUUCAUCCUGAACUCUCCAUCUGAAUAGAUGUAAAGUACAAUAAAUACUGAUUGCUAA